rnacentral:rRNA from 1 species
AUUGAACGCUGGCGGAAUGCUUUACACAUGCAAGUCGAACGGCAGCACGGACUUCGGCCUGGUGGCGAGUGGCGAACGGGUGAGUAAUGUAUCGGAACGUAUCCAAUAAUGGGGGAUAACUAGUCGAAAGAUUAGCUAAUACCGCAUACGCCCUACGGGGGAAAGCUAGGGACCUUCGGGCCUGGCGUUAAUGGAGCGGCCGAUAUCUGAUUAGCUAGUUGGUGAGGUAAAAGCUCACCAAGGCGACGAUCAGUAGCUGGUCUGAGAGGACGACCAGCCACACUGGAACUGAGACACGGUCCAGACUCCUACGGGAGGCAGCAGUGGGGAAUUUUGGACAAUGGGCGAAAGCCUGAUCCAGCCAUUCCGCGUGAGUGAGGAAGGCCUUCGGGUUGUAAAGCUCUUUCGCAAGAGAAGAAAACUUACCCUCUAACAUAGGGUGAGGCUGACGGUAUCUUGAUAAGAAGCACCGGCUAACUACGUGCCAGCCGCCGCUGUAACAC